UACGAAGGGGGCUAGCGUUGCUCGGAAUCACUGGGCGUAAAGGGUGCGUAGGCGGGUCUUUAAGUCAGGGGUGAAAUCCUGGAGCUCAACUCCAGAACUGCCUUUGAUACUGAGGAUCUUGAGUUCGGGAGAGGUGAGUGGAACUGCAAGUGUAGAGGUGAAAUUCGUAGAUAUUCGCAAGAACACCAGUGGCGAAGGCGGCUCACUGGCCCGAUACUGACGCUGGGGCACGAAAGCGUGGGGAGCAAACAGG
rnacentral:rRNA from 1 species